rnacentral:tRNA from 1 species
GGCGUAGCUCAGUUGGUAGAGCAUCAGCUUCCCAAGCUGAGGGUCGCCGGUUCGAGUCCGGUCGCCCG